GCAGCAGGCUGGCCUUGCUCUCUCUACCUGACCGUCCUGGUGGAGAAAUAUUGUCCCGAUUGUUGCAGGAAGGAUCAGAGCUAUAUGUGGACGCAGUGGCUGCUCUCCUCCCCUCCUUGUGCUGUGUAGCACAUAGUGCAUUUGUAUUCCAGAUCACAUGCAGACAGUAACCUAUAACUCUCAGGAAUGAGAUGAUGAUGGUGAUUGCUGCAUGACCUAAUUGCUGUAAGACAAUUGCCAAGGUAAUGCAAUACCUUCAGUAGCAAUUUUGUGGCAUAUUUAUUUAUUUUGUUAAUAUGGUUUAUUUUUGCCCUAUUAGGAGGAGCUCUGACCCACUGCUGUUUUUGUCCCUAUUUAAUUCACUUUGUAUAUUUUUGGGGUUAUUUUGCUUUAUUAUACUACCUGUGAGUGAUUUUUAUAUAGUUGUUGGUGCCAGUACAGGUGGGUGGCCAUAUUUCUGUAGGCGGUGAGUCACAUGGUGGAGGUCUUCCUUUUUGUCUGCUUCUCCCCUGCCUGUGUUUUGCAUGUAUAAUUUACGGCAUUUUGCAUGAUUAUUUUGACUUUGUGUGAAACUUAUUGCGUGUCUUUUGUAUUGCAGUGCGUUUGACUUCCCUUUAUCCCGGCCUGGUGGUGGUUCCCCCUUCCCCUCACUCACUCCCUCCUGCAGACUUCCCUGACACCCCCUUGUACUGGUAGCCAUUUUAGCCUGUCACUGUUGCGCAUCUUUAAGUAUUGUGUGCAUUAUUUUAUAUUUCAAUAAAAUCUCAUCUAUUUGUCUAUACCUGGAAA